GCUGCGCGGUCCUUUCCGUUCUGAGGAUGCUACGGUGCUUCAGGUAGCAGUGAGUGUUGUUUACUUUAUUCAUUAUUUUUCAAUUAUAUUAUGUACCCUAAAACACAGUUUAGUGCUUUAUAUUUAUAUUUGUUUAAAACGCAGACGUGGCCUUGCGUUAACGCUGAUUCAAGACCUGCAAAAUGACACCGCAGCGCUUCUGGCCUCGCCCUCGCCUUUAGUCCAGAGACCAACAUGCUUAAUCCAGUAUGACUUGAUGAUAUUACGUUAAUCGUUUUGCAGAUCAUAUCUACUUGAACUGAACUGAUGUUUUGGGAAACCAAAUUUCAAAGAAUGUGCCGAAGUUGCAGCAAUUUUCCAGUUGGAUUCCAGCAGAAUGGUUAAUCGCUACAGUUGAUGACUACUGGGUUUCCAGCAAAGGGUUUGAAGCCAAUAUGGACGUUGUCUCCAGCCCAUGAAGCUACAUAAGGUUGACGUGAUGCCAGAAUUAUGUGCCAGUGAUGGGCGUAUUCCUUUGAAUGCACAGACCUGUCACUCUGACAGAGGUUUAUGCCAUGGCAGAAGAGUUGUGGUGACCGGUUUGGAGCACAAUGUUGAACUGUCAAGCUUUGUAGUAUUGUGUAUCAUAACUUGAACACUUGUUUCACUGUCAUUGUAUAUCAUUCCCAGAACAGUUUGAGAAAGUAACUGCUUGUUUUUGAUUUCUCAGUUGUUUGUAUACUUUUUUUUUUAAUUGACACUACUUUUACGUUUAAUAAAAAUCACUGUUACAGCUCAA